UUUCCGUAGGUGAACCUGCGGAAGGAUCAUUACCGAAUUGUCAAACGGGUUGUUGCUGGUCUUCAAACGGGGACAUGUGCACGCUCUGUUUACCCAUCCACUCACACCUGUGCACCCUCCGUAGUUCUAUGGUCUGGGGGACCCUGUCUUCCUGGCGUGGUUCUACGUCUUUACACACACUCUGUAAUAAAGUCUUAUGGAAUGUAUGCCGCGUCUAACGCAAUACAAUACAACUUUCAGCAACGGAUCUCUUGGCUCUC
rnacentral:misc_RNA from 1 species